rnacentral:lncRNA from 1 species
GGGCACGGUGCAGCGCCGCCUCCCGUUCGCCUCUGCGCCUGGCCCGGCGACUGCGGGCGCUGCGGUCCACUGGGUCCGCCUCUUCCCGGCAUGGGUUUCUGCCCAGCUCACCCGCUGUCAGCUGGGGUCCUGCUCUGGUGGGAGGAAGAGGCUCAGACGCUUCCCUGCCCUCUCGCCUCAACCACCUCGAGGCAGCGGCUCCCAGGAUGUGCACUUUGACGACUAAAGCUGAGCCGGCGCCGCCACGACCUUGGGCGGGUGGUCGGCCUCUGCCCUGAGCAGGAAGUAGAAAGUCUCAGCAGACCCUUCCUGAGGGCCGAGCAACAGUGUAGUGGCGUAUUCCACAUAGCAAACAGGUCCCCAGACAGUCCCGGUGUGCACACUUCCCUGCUUCUGUUCAUGAUGUUCUCUGAACCUGGGAUCACCUUUCCCCUUCCUCUUACCUGCCCGAUCCUACUUGUCCUCCCAGAUUCAGUUUUCUGAAGCUCAGAGGGACACCUUGUAUUGCUGGAUGAUAAAAACAGGAGCAAAGUGAUGAAGUGCUGACAAGGCAACAAUAGAACAUGAGAGAUUCACUGCUGUGUAGGAAGAGAUCUUCGGUGACCAUGUAGCCUGAAGCUCUCAUUUUGUCAUCGAGGGACACCAAAACUCAGAACAGAUAGAGUCUUGCUCUGUGACCCAGGCUUGUGUGCAGCGGUACGAUAUUGGCUCACUGCGACCUCCACCUCCCAGGUUCAAGCAAUUCUCCUGCCUCAGCCUCCCAAGUAGCUGGGAUUACAGAUGAGGUCUCCAAGGGACCAGAUGGAGAACAGAUGCAACCACACUGAAGUCAGAAUCGCAGCUUGCCUCCGACACCUGACGCUUCACUGUUGGCGAGGCCCACUAUGCCUCGCUCUCCCCCUGUAAUGAGUUCUAUCCCAGAGGCUCCUAUACCCUUUAGAAAUAAACUGCUCAGGCAGCCCAACCAGUUCAUCCAAGAGGCCUGGAACCACAGCAGCGUCGACAGCUGAGAUGAGAGUUGGUCCCUGAUCUGAUACAGAGCCUGGGUUUAGCUUUGAUUUCUCUCUUCCUAGGCAAGAUCUUUAGAGAAUAACUUUUUGUGCCUGGCCAUCUCCUGCUCUUUUCUCAACCCAAAAGGGCUAUGUUCACCUAAAGAGGAAAAGCAAGAAGGCUUCCUGGGCUCGGGAGGUCAGGGCUGGAAAGAACUGCUCACCAUUUCUGAGCCGAUGAGGACUCACCUGGGCUCCUCACUGGUCAGGGAACUGUGGCCCAGCCGCAGAGUGAUUGCUUUGUCAAGAAGGGAAACAUUUACCUUUCCUUCUUCCCUCUGCUCUCUCCUAAUUAACAAUUAAAUGGAAGGAGUUGAAAAGACAUGUCAGAGACUUCAAUCUCCUCCCGGCCUGAGGAUGAAGGGGGCUCGAACCUGAAUGUUCUCUUCGCUGUGGCCAGAACCUAGGGGGCUGGGGUUGCUGCCAGCUCGACUGGAGGCCUGCUUCCAGCCCCAGGCUGUGGUGAGGGGCCUCACAGAUUUCACAAACAGGAGGGCGGCUGACCAAGCGCCAAACUAUUUAGACAAACACACACCCUCCCUUCCCGCCAGAGUUUGGGCUGAUUUCUCCCAAUGCUAAUGAACAGCUCAUAAGUAUUAAUAGACUCCUUGGCACCUAGGAGUCAGGCAGAGUAACUUCCAGUGUGAAUUUUGGCCAAGGACCCUGAUGCAGCCUCAGGAUCUUCCAAGCCCCUGUUGAGUCCAGGGGGCAUGAGACACACAGGGAGGCUGGGGCUGCUCCCAGGAAGCAGGCUCACAAGAGCCAGACAGGCUCCCACAGACAGCUUUUAGGUCACAGAAACCUCUGCCUGCCAGGUAGGCAUGAACACAGAAACCCUCCCAAAUCCUCAGACUGUGGAGCACACUCCAGGUGAGCCAGGAUCAAUCCCUGGUCUCAGAGAACACUUAGAUGGGGGUGAAAAGCAGGAACUGAGAGCUUCCCACCCAGCACCUGUCCCUGCUACCAGCUAAACCUGUGUCGGUCAGUGCAGGAAUUGUACAGGUGAUGCUCUGAGCCUGUGCUGAGGCCAUGUAUGGACUGAGGAAACCUCACUGUGUGUAUGUAAAGUUAAUUCAAACCUAUUUCCCUGAGUGCUUACAUAUUUUCAUAAGGAAAGUUCUGUUAGGAGAGCUGCCUGAAACAACACCUCUGCCUGUGCUCCCACUUUCUCCCGCUGGUGUGGGGAGGAGAGGCUGACAUCGCUGGGUCCACGUUCCUCUGCCCUGGGUGGGGUAUUAAUGCUGCCAUUCCCACGCUGCCUGCUGUUUCCCCUCAUCCUCAGGAGGGCUGGUCUCUGUGCUGCAGGCAGCUCCACCAGGCCUGGGAGCAUGACACCGUCUGCCAAUGCCUUGCCCAGGUCCACUGGCCUCACCCUUCCGCAGGCCUGCGCCUUCUGUGACUCUCUGCCUCAGCAAUUUCUCUGGAUUUCUUUGUCCUCAGGAAUGUGCUGGGGCCACAGGCAGGUCAGGCCAGGCUUUCUGGGGAGUGAAUGCUCUCUGCCAGUGGCGGAUGGAACUGGUAGACACGUCCCCCGGAUUCCUCGCCUGCAAGUGGGAUGGUGCCAGGAAAGUUCUACACCAUCCUUCCCAGGUCCCAGGAGGACAAGCACAGUUGUCCACAAGGGCACCGCAAGACAACGUAUCUCCCCUCUCCUGUGCAAUCAGUCAAAGAACAUUUAGUCAACCUGAACUGGGAGCACAGCGCUCCUGGGGCUGUUGGGCAUUCAAAAGAGGUAAGAUGUUGUGAAUCUACCAGGCAUCUGCACCCUUGUUGGGGAACCAAUCCAUAUACAGCAGCAACUGUUAAGUGGUGGCACCUGCUGGCUGUAGCACUUAAUAGGUAGGUGUGCAUGGAGUCAGACUGCCAGGUACACAGACCAGCUCUACCACUCACAGUAGUUGUGAUCUUGGGCAAAACACAAAACCUCCCUGAGCCUCUCAGUUUCUCACCCACUAGUACCACCUCACUAAGCAUGUUAGGAGGAGUCAAUGUGAUAGCCUAUGCAAAGUGCCUGGAAUAGUGCCUGGCACACAAGAGGUAUUCAAUACCUGCCAGCUGUUGUUGUUUUUCUGCAAAUGAAGUGUAAACCCCUUGAGGACAGAGAUGAGUGUCCAUAGCUGUUAUCUGCCACAGAGCCUUCCUUCCACAUAACAUAUGCUCGAGGGUUUGCUGACCUACUUUGAAGAAAGGGGCAACACGAGGGGAAUAUAGUUUUAUUGUGUAGGGUAAUUUCCUC